rnacentral:rRNA from 1 species
GUGACCUCAAAUCAGGUAGGACUACCCGCUGAACUUAAGCAUAUCAAUAAGCGGAGGAAAAGAAACUAACAAGGAUUCCCCUAGUAACUGCGAGUGAAGCGGGAAAAGCUCAAAUUUAAAAUCUGGCGGUCUUUUGGCUGUCCGAGUUGUAAUCUAGAGAAGUGUUAUCCGCGCUGGACCGUGUACAAGUCUCCUGGAAUGGAGCAUCAUAGAGGGUGAGAAUCCCGUCUUUGACAUGGACUACCAGGGCUUUGUGAUGCGCUCUCAAAGAGUCGAGUUGUUUGGGAAUGCAGCUCAAAAUGGGUGGUAAAUUCCAUCUAAAGCUAAAUAUUGGCGAGAGACCGAUAGCGAACAAGUACCGUGAGGGAAAGAUGAAAAGAACUUUGGAAAGAGAGUUAAACAGUACGUGAAAUUGCUGAAAGGGAAACGCUUGAAGUCAGUCGCGUUGUCCAGGGAUCAACCUUGCUUUUGCUUGGUGCACUUCCUGGUUUGACGGGUCAGCAUCAAUUUUGACCGUUGGAAAAAGGUUAAGGGAAUGUGGCAUCUUYGGAUGUGUUUAUAGCCCUUGGUCACAUACAAUGGUUGGGAUUGAGGAACUCAGCACGCCGCAAGGCCGGGU